rnacentral:lncRNA from 1 species
ACCUGUCUCUUUACUGGUUUAUCUUCUGAUUUAGGAGGCUUAAUUUUCCAUGGCUCCUAGAGCCAGGCUGAUUGCAUUAGGGGCUGGAGCCCCUGGCAUGAUCUGUCUGAGUCUGCAGGGUCCCUUUCCCCAAUCAAGCAUGUGACAUUCCUUUAGCCUUAGUUUGGAUGGGGAUGUGAGAAAGGAUGGGGAGAAAAGGACCUGAGAUCUCUGCUGGAGGCUAAUGGGAUUGCAGGUCCUGUACCCUGUGGGAAUGGGAAUUGACCCUACUCAGAUCUGCUUCACUGAAAAGUCUAUGCCAAGUUCUCUGGAGAGGAAUGUUGGAGAGUGCGGCUGGGUUGCUGCCUGCAUCUAUCUCAUCACCUUGACUCUGGCCCCAGCAGCUCUUCAAUGUCAGGUUUUUGAAGGUCACUCAGGAAUGAUUGCUGAGAGAUUGUCCUCUUCUGGGUGCUGUAUUUGAAUGGGUGAAGAAUGUAGAGAGGAAUAAGACUGAAGACCCGACUUCAUGUUGCUUCUAGUCAUGUAGGGUACAUAGCACAGGUAUACAAGAACCUUGGCACAUAGAGUAGGACCCUCUUAUCUACAGGGUUGUUUUUCCUGGUUUCAGUUGUCUCUGGUCAACCUGAAGCACUGGAGGUCUUCCUAAGAAGGACCAGAAGUCUGCCUGUGGCAGUGCUCUGAUCUGAAGCCUCUCUUCUGCUUCCACUUUCACUUUUGUGUGUGGGUAUGAUGGUGGAGGGAAUGGGA